rnacentral:rRNA from 1 species
GACGUAGGGGGCCAGCGUUGUUCGGAAUUACUGGGUGUAAAGGGGUUCGUAGGCGGUGUGGCAAGUCGGGAGUGAAAUCUCUGGGCUCAACCCAGAGUCUGCUUCCGAAACUGCUGUGCUUGAGUGUGGGAGAGGCGCGUGGAAUUGCAGGUGUAGCGGUGAAAUGCGUAGAUAUCUGCAGGAACACCCGUGGCGAAAGCGGCGCGCUGGACCACUACUGACGCUGAGGAACGAAAGCUAGGGGAGCAAACAGG